UGAGUACGAGAUGCUACGGCAUCGAAGCAGUCUAUGUCAUACUUCCAUGAAAAGCUUGCACUGUCAGAAACAGAUAAUGCCUGUACCAUAACCGACACAGGUGGGUAGGUAGAGUAUACUAAGGGGCGCGAGAUAACUCUCUCUAAGGAACUCGGCAAAAUGACUCCGUAACUUCGGGAGAAGGAGUGCCUUAUUUUUAAGGUUGCAAUAACAAGAUCCAAGCAACUGUUUACCAAAAACACAGGUCUCCGCUAAGUCGUAAGACGAUGUAUGGGGGCUGACGCCUGCCCAGUGCCAGAAGGUUAAAGAAGUCGGUUAGCAUUCGCGAAGCUGGUAACUGAAGCCCUGGUGAACGGCGGCCGUAACUAUAACGGUCCUAAGGUAGCGAAAUUCCUUGUCGGGUAAGUUCCGACCCGCACGAAAGGCGUAAUGAUUUGGAUACUGUCUCGGAGAGGGGCUCGGUGAAAUAGACUUGUCUGUGAAGAUGCGGACUACCUGCACCUGGACAGAAAGACCCUAUGAAGCUUUACUGUAACUUGAAAUUGAAAUUGGACUUUAUUUGCGCAGUAUAGGUGGGAGGCGUUGAAAAUAUUCUUGCGGGAAUAUUGGAGCCAUCAGUGAGAUACCACUCUUGUAAUGUUAGAUUUCUAACUUUAUAUCAUUAUCUGGUUAAAGAACAGUUUCAGGCGGGCAGUUUGACUGGGGCGGUCGCCUCCCAAAUGGUAACGGAGGCGCGCAAAGGUUUCCUCUGAACGGGUAGAAAUCGUAUCUAGAGUGUAAAGGCAUAAGGAAGCUUGACUGUGAGACCUACAAGUCGAGCAGGGACGAAAGUCGGUCUUAGUGAUCUGACGGUGCUGAGUGGAAAGGCCGUCACUCAACGGAUAAAAGUUACUCUAGGAUAACGGGCUGAUCUCCCCCAAGAGUUCACAUCGACGGGGAGGUUUGGCACCUCGAUGUCGGCUCAUCGCAUCCUGGGGCGGUAGUACGUCCCAAGGGUUGGGCUGUUCGCCCAUGAAAGCGGUACGCGAGCUGGGUUCAGAACGUCGUGAGACAGUUCGGUCCAUAUCCGGUGUAGGCGUUAGAAUAUUGAGAGGAGCCUUCUUUAGUACGAGAGGACCGAGAAGGACAUACCUCUGGUGUACCGGUUAUCGUGCCAACGGUAAACGCUGGGUAGCUAUGUAUGGAGUGGAUAACCGCUGAAAGCAUCUAAGUGGGAAGCCCACCUCAAGAUAAG
rnacentral:rRNA from 1 species